UUUCCUCCAGCACCAUAAUUCAAAAGCAUCAAUUCUUCAGCGAUCAGCCUUCUUUAUGAUGCUUUUGAAUUAUGGUGCUGGAGGAGA